GGAAGGUGUUCCUAAGGCCUGCUGGGCAGGCGCCGCGCUGUAGACGCGGUCCCCUCGUGGGCACGACGUUCGAUUCGUCCGCCUUCCACCA
rnacentral:tRNA from 1 species